rnacentral:rRNA from 1 species
AUUGAACGCUGGCGGCAGGCCUAACACAUGCAAGUCGAGCGAGCGGCGGACGGGUGAGUAAUGUAUGGGGACUGCCCGAUAGAGGGGGAUAACUACUGGAAACGGUGGCUAAUACCGCAUACUAUCGGAUAACCCAUAUGGGAUUAGCUAGUAGGUGGGGUAAAGGCUAACCUAGGCGACGAUCUCUAGCUGGUCUGAGAGGAUGAUCGGCCACACGGGGACUGAGACACGCCCCAGACUCCUACGGAGGCAGCAGUGGGGAAUAUUGGACAAGGGGCGCAAGCCUGAUGCAGCCAUGCCGCGUGUAUGAAGAAGGCCUUAGGGUGGUAAGGUACUUUAAGCGGGAAGGCGUUACCCGCAGAGAAAGCACCGGCUAACUCCGUGCCAGCAGCCGCGGUAAUAC